GGCAGGAAGGCACUGUGCUAGCACAGCGAACACAUUGCUCUGCAGAGAAUCUGCUCUCCUCCAGUCGGAUGGAAUCCCUCUGUUGCACAUCCCAGGGCCAGUUUCCAGAUUAAAGAAUUCUGAAUGUGCUCUAAAUUCUCACUGCAGAUGGGACAAUGGUAACAAUCCUUUUGCUAAACAAAAUGCAAAAGAUACAUUCUACCCCCUGCCAGGUCACAACAGUAACUAUCAGAUCCACUACACCAAGAUUUCUGAAGACAAUGGCAUCUCCACCCAAGCGCGUUGUAAAUAAAUUCCGAAUAGAACCUGUCAUCACCCUGAAGGAAUUCUAACUUCACACUGUUGGGGAAAUUUACCAAGAUGGCUUCAGAAUAGACUAACUUUACACAGCACAUU